rnacentral:rRNA from 1 species
GUAGGUGGCAAGCGUUGUCCGGAAUUAUUGGGCGUAAAGCGCGCGCAGGCGGUUCUUUAAGUCUGAUGUGAAAGCCCACGGCUCAACCGUGGAGGGUCAUUGGAAACUGGAGAACUUGAGUGCAGAAGAGGAAAGCGGAAUUCCACGUGUAGCGGUGAAAUGCGUAGAGAUGUGGAGGAACACCAGUGGCGAAGGCGGCUUUCUGGUCUGUAACUGACGCUGAGGCGCGAAAGCGUGGGGGAGCAAACAGGAUUAGAUACCCUGGUAGUCCACGCCGUAAACGAUGAGUGCUAAGUGUUAGGGGGUUUUCCGGCCCCCUUAGUGCUGCAGCUAACGCAUUAAGCACUCCGCCCUGGGAGUACGGCCGCAAGGCUG